UUCCCUGCACAUUGGCUCACAAGGACACCUUCAUCUGGUCCUAGCAAGGCUGCAGGCCCAUGAAUCACCUCUCACCACACCCAGGCAGCUGAGGCCUUCGCUUGUGAGGCUCCCACACGCAUCUAUCUCACCAGGCUGCUCACGCUGCCCCUUUCCCACUAGUUACAAACUCCUGUGACAUUGGCUGUAAAAGCAAGCAGAUGAUAUCACUCUUGCUCCAAUUUGUGUGGCAACGCUCGUGUCCUGUCACAUGGACCUGGACAGCUGACAGAUGGACUGAUUAGAGACCACACUAUUCAUGGUAAGGCGGAUAACAAGGCCAAAGCAAGGUCACUGUGAAAAAUGGAUUUGACUUGGCAAAGCACAGGGGGUAUUUCUAAGGCUGGGGACAGCCGUGCUUCCUAAAUGAAAGCAUCAGCACAGAUGCAAAAAAAGUAGCAGCUUCCAAAUUAAAAGGCCUAAAGACGGACUGCAAGGAUAAGGAAGCAGCAGAGACAAGAUGUGUUUAAGACAACAGCCGUACCAUCGGUGUGCUGUUCUGUAUGCAAUGGAAACAGACAGUUUCUGAGAGAUGCAAAUUGUAUGAAGUUAAAAAUUAACUGUAGUCAUCUGCACACGAUGGGAAGAUGAACCCUCAAUCAUGUACUAAGAAAAGGUUUUCUCUUUGUUCCAUAAUAAAUGCAGGACUGGCUUCACAGACUUAAAACAGUGGAAAGAAAAGGCACCCUGAGUGUAUUUCCUGACAGAUAAUGCAACCCAGACAGUGGUGCCAGUAUCAAUAGAGCAGUGAUUACUAGUACUUAAAGGUUUUUUCCUGCUUCUCUAACACUUAAGUGGGAGCAACUACCAAGUAUGCUUACAAAGAGACAGAGAGCCUUUCAGAGCCUCGAACAGUGGGCUGAAGGACCUAAAUAUGCAUCUGGGUCAAGUGUAGAUGAAUGCAGCUGACCAAAGAGCUCCCUAACUCGCUGAGCACAAGGUGAGGCAUUCUUAACAAAGUAUUUGAUGGCUUAGGCUGCAUAAGGUUAGAGAAGAGCUUAUUAUCUCCGAUCCAAGGACGCCCCUGAAAAAUAACUGUGAUGAAUUCUCACCAAAACAGAAAUAAAGCAGAAGUUGAAUUUGUACAGAGGUUAGCACUUGAUUUAUUGAACUAUUCAAAAGUCAACCAACAAGACUAAAAACCUGCUCCAUAUUACAAAGACAACCAAGGCAAAGCUUUGUUUAGCUCCAAACAAUAUAGUCUUUGGUUAUACAAGUCUGCCUGCACCUGAUAUAAAACACUCCCAAGGCCUUGGCCGAGCACAUACCUUCCUGGCAGACCACUUCAAAGCCCCAGGCAGCUUCGGCAAAACCCUGAGACUUGGCUGCCACACGAUGAAGGCCACAGAAGACCAGCAAACUGGGAGACAUCACUAAGAGGCUGAGAUAAGAAGUCUUAAAAGUAGAAGCAUAAAAACACACACUAGGUUUCUCAUGGGGUAACAAAACACCUACCCACAGUUCAGUUUGCUCAGAUCUAGUAUCCGAGUUGCAAGUACUAUUUUUCCCCUAUGACUUGGGUACUCACACGUCCUUCUUUCCACAUGGAUUUUUUGUUUCAUAAACAAGCAUAGGGUUACCAGUGAAGGCAUUUAAGCUAUUCUUACUCUUCUACCUGGUUGCACAUCUCUAUGGAAUCAUUUCUGUAGGAUUUAUUGUUCAGCAUAACCUGGCUGAAUUCAACCAACAAUUAUAGAAGUUAUGGGGAUGGCUGGACAAACUACCCCAUAGACUCAAUUUCUAGAAGCAAACAACAAUUUGGAAGAGUAUUCCAAGGACAGGGAGUCACCGUGCUCCUACUGAAUAGGUUUCUAGGGUGUCAAUCCCUCCCCAAGUCACCUGGGUGUUAUUACAAAAUAGCUAAUUAAGACCACACCCUGAGAUCCAAACGAGUACGAGGAGUGCUGAUGAGUAACAACGAGUUACACAAGGGCUGUCAGCCUCCUGUAGCUGGGAACUUGCUUGCUGUAGAAGAAAAGUAUGUGUUGAAAUAAUCUCACACGAGCACUGCAGUGGUGGAGGAGCACAGAGAGAGGCAGUGAAGGGCUCGCUCCCCUUCUGACUGUGGGCUUGACAGCUCCUUAAGCCCUAGCAAAGCAAAGGUUAAAUGACCCUUUUCCCUCUUCAGGUCACUGAGAGAUGCUCUGUCAAAGUGGGCUUGAUCCUGACUCACGUGAUGGAAACGGGCAAUCUGCACGGAAUGGCUGAAGGAGCGUGGCUCAUCCCAAGGCUUCGUAAUCAGCCCAGAACAGAGUGCUCACCCCUUCCUUUCCCUAAUGACUAGCAGCCCAGCAUCUUUUCCGAGAGAAAGUGUGGCCCUUCAUGAAGGCCUGUGGUCUGAUUCACUGAGCUGAAGGCAGCACAGUGCACAGAAGGGCUUAUGAUAAGGCAUGCUCUGAAUUUAUGACCCUCAUUUCAAAACCUACGUAUGCCUGAGCACUACCAGGCACGCAGCCAGGGGAGCAGGUGUGACACACGUGCUGGGGAACACACUGGAUCCUUGGGAGGUGCCGUAAGAUGCGGGGCCUCAGCUGGAGACCUCGAAUUUGCAAUUAGCCAGCAGCCUGCCACCAGCACGCCCUCUCCGGGGGCUGUGUGAUGUUCCCUUAUGUUGGGAGUUGCUCUCGUUACACGUGCAGCUCUUCAGCUCUGAUAGACCCACCCCUGGCUGCCCAAAUGGGCAAGACUCCCUGAUAGCUUAUGCCUCAGACACUGGCCACUGCUGGACUUAUCUAACCACAGGCUGCAGUUUUAUUUUUUGGAAAAAAAAUGGCAGAAAGACAAAGGGAAGUGUAGGUGUCGUGAUUCUGCCAUCACAGGGAAACUUCCUUAUGCAUGAAACAGAAAAAGAGGAGGUGUUAAACUCCAGUGUGGUUGGACAAUCUUGCACUAAGGGCUCAGCAAGCCCAGCAUCCUCUGGAUAGCCACAGUUAGCCCAGCACCUCCAAAACAGGCUGUGUGUGGUGGGAAUGGGGUGAUUUACCAGGCUGGACCCGGUCAGCAGGUCAGACAGGUCCUGGCUGUACUGGUCCUACUGUGUGCAUGCUGCAAGGCUGGAAAGCAAGCUGGCUACAGCCAUCAGCUCAGCAUCUCUGCACACCCAGCAGAGCCCCCUGGCUGCUAGCAAGGCUGUCUGGUCACUGUAUUUGGGGCUCCUCCGUCCAAAUCCAA